GACGUAGGGGGCCAGCGUUGUUCGGAAUUACUGAGGGUAAAGGGUUCGUAGGCGGUGUGGCAAGUCGGGAGUGAAAUUUCUGGGCUCAACUCAGAGACUGCUUCCGAAACUGCUGUGCUUGAGUGUGGGAGAGGCGCGUGGAAUUGCAGGUGUAGCGGUGAAAUGCGUAGAUAUCUGCAGGAACACCCGUGGCGAAAGCGGCGCGCUGGACCACUACUGACGCUGAGGAACGAAAGCUAGAGGAGCAAACAGG
rnacentral:rRNA from 1 species